GCGGCCAGACUCGCACGUCACUUGGUGCUUUUGUGGUCAAAAAGUAACUUUGGAGCCACAGCUAACUGUGCUUAGACUCUCCCAGCCAGGCCAGCUGAAUGCUCUGUCGUGGUUAGUCCCGGGCGGCUGCUCACCGCCUCUGAGCUGGAAUGGGAGCAUGCCACAGCUCCUCCUGCUUCCACACGUGCAGGCCCUCUCUCGUUGUUUUCAGAUUUGCCCGAAGCAGCUCUCGUAUCCGUGGAUGCUGCCUGUGGUGUGGAUGUUUUGGGGGUUGAUUCUCCCCUCUCUAAAGCCUCUGAACUUGGAGGCAGGAGUUCUCACCAGCAGCACCAGCCUCGCCUGGUGGGGGACCCUCAGAAAUGCAGGUUCUGUGGCCCACCCAGGCUUGCAGGAUCCCAUACUCUGGGCUUGGGUGCUGGGGGGCACCAGGGCUCAAGGUGCUCCCCGAGGAGAGGAGGAGUGGCUUCCAGAGCGGGCCUGGGCCUGGCAGCCACAUCCCUGCCGGGGUAGGCCUGGGCCUGGCAACCCUGCAGCCGCGUCCCUGCUGGGGUGGGCCUGACUCCCCCGGGCUGUGGUGUGGCUUCCUCACCUUCCUCACACCUUGCGGGAAAGCCACGUGGAGUUAGGCUGUCGAGGGAGGGGUGUAAUGACCGCGCCAGGGACGGGCAGCGUCUGCACAGAGCCAUGCUCCCUCUGCACCCCAGGUGUUGAUGUGGAUCCCGGGUAGCCGUGGGUGUUGGCAUUUUCUUCGUUCCACCUGUUACCUCGUCAGCUAUAGGCCCCAGGCCCUAGAUCUGCUGCUUUGGCAGCCACAGAGCAGCAAGUGUGUCCAGCCCCAGGGCUCCAGGCUACGCGGCAGCACAGAGGAUGUUUUCCGAGCACACCCCAACAGCAAAAAACCGGGUGCCCCAGCCCCGUUAUUUAGGGAAUGAUGCAAGCCGGAAGGGGUGUUCAGCAGAGUGCCUCGUAUUUUUAUUUUCUUCCAUUUAGAUAAAUAGUGGAGAGAAGGUGGCCGCAGGGACAAAUGGCUGUUUGCCAACGCAGCAGCCGGCGGCAGGGAAUUAGCGGGCAGGGCGCUGGGGUGAGGCGUUUUCGCCAGCACUUGCAGAUGAUGUUAAUGUGAUGUUUGUGGCCUGUGUGCUUGAUGCCAAUUAGUACCUCCCUCGUUGGUGCUUGAAGCAAGGAAAUGCGGGAGACACCUGAGCGCACAGUGGCCCGUUUGACAUUUAAAGUCUCCACCCUCCCAGGUGGGAAAGGUCAGACAGCGCUGCACCACGCUCCGUCACUGCAGGCCUGCACCUCCCCAUCCCUGCCUCGGUUUUUACUGACCGAAAGCUUGUUAUUGCUCAGUGGGAAGGAUAUUAGAUAGGACAAGAAACGAGGCUGUGAAAGGAGGAGUGGAAAUAAAGCAAUAGAGAAAUAAUGGCCCAGUCCACCCUAUUUGCUGUAAAUUAUGUCGGUGAGGGGCACUGACGUCGCCCUUUUCACUGUAUCUGGAUGAGGGGCGGGUGUAGGAAUCGAGGCUGUUACUUGGAGGGUAAAGCAGGACCAUGAGUGUGGAGAGAGCUCUGAGGUUUCUGUUUGUUUUGUUUUUUGGUUUGUUUGUUUUUUUUUUUUUUUUGAGACGGAGUCUCGCUCUCACCCGGGCUGGAGUGCAGUGGUGUGAUCUCAGCUCACUGCAACCUCUGUCUCCUGGGUUCAAGUGAUUCUCCUGCCUCAGCCUCCCGAGUAGCUGGGACUACAGGCAGCCCUGGGUUUUAAUGGAUGUAUUUUCACCUGCCUGUGAGUAGCGCCGGUGCCUGGUGCCGCCCGUCUCUGCGGACACAGCUCAGUGCUUGGGUACUCUCCCUGCGUCUUCUGGAAUCUUCUGGAAUCCCGUCUCUGGUUCUGCCAUCUGGGUGUCUUGGGCUGAGGGUGCAGAAAUCUAUCAAUACAGAUGCCACUGAGAGGAUCCAGGUGUUCUGGAGGACUCAGGAAACUUGAAACAGUAAUUAAAAAUAUCUUUAAAAUGUACCCUCAACAAUUAUUCCAAAUCAAGUGGCCCGUGUGUGCGCAGCAGCGACACGGGAGAGGCUGGCUCUGCGUUUCCACAGAAGGAGCCCUUUCCAUUGAAACGCGGGAGAAAACGGUCCCCUGCACGGAGAAUGUCAGGAGCUGUCAGCAUAUCUCAUUUGUAGAAAUUAGUAAUUUAAAGAGUUUUGUGAUGUAUCUGUGGCAGAGUGGAUUUCUGUCUCUGCAAGUGUGAGGUAAAAGCAGCUAAAAAGAGGGGGUUUUGGGGGUUAGUUUUCUCUUUCAGUUGGUGGACCACAAAUUGGAUAAAAAUAGAAUUUGUGCAUAAUUUAAAAACAAACGAGAAUAGAAAGCUCUCAGUUGCCGUGGAAGCUCCUCGUAACCGCAGACGUGCCCUCGGUGCCGUCGGGUUAUUUUAGUACAUCCUUUGACGCGGCCCCUUUCCCGCUUUUCAGAAACGAGGCUCAUCGCACUGGCCUGGGGGCGCGAGGACGAGGCCGUGGGUAGUGGGCGCUGCGGGCGGCUGGUCAGAGCCACUGGGAGCCGUUGGGAACAACUGGCGCGGGAGUUUCCUGCAUUUGAGAAAUGCUGUUCUCUUCGUUGUGAAUCGUCUGUCCGCUGCAUCUCAAAAAGCUUGUCCAGAAAAUUAAAGCCCGCUGUCUCCUGCAGUGCAGCUGAGCCCUGGAGGGUGGCGGGGGGCCGGGGGAUGUGGGUGUCAGCUCUCGCGGCCAGGGGCACGCUGUGCCCCCGCGCCCGGUAUCCCCGUCCUCCCGCACCCGGCGUCCGCGUCCUCCCACGCCCGCUGUCUCCGUCCUCCCCAUCCCCAUGUGUUUCGCAGUUGGGAAGUGAAGCACGUGAGCAGAACGCAGCACCUUCUCUCCAGGAAGCAUUCGGAGCAUGGACUCUGGGUUAGGAAAGGGUGUUUGCUCCUCUGGAUAGGUGCUCGCUCUUACUUGUGGGUGCUGAGGGGCGUGAGGGGGUCCGGCAUCCGGGUACCUGUGGGCGCUGAGGGGCGUGAGGGGGUCCGGCAUCCGGGGCUUCUCCCAUUUAGGGCCUUUCCUUCAGAGGGAAGGAGGCCAGCCCCCUCCAGUGAGCACUGAGCGUGCCCCCUGCCGUCUCUGUGGGGAUGUCAUUGUUCCCACGCCGGGGAGAGACCACCCCAGGCCAGCCCCUAUUCUUCUGGCCACAUUGCCAUGAUCACACCGUCCGCACCCUGAGGCCACCCCCAUUACGGCUGCCACGGCGCUAAAAACACCAGCAUCAAAGCAACAGGGCCGUGGUUUAGCCUGGAAGAGCGGGGCCCUGGAGCCGUCUGCGAGGGGGUCUGGGUGGUUCAGGAUGGCCGGCAGCCCCUGGUGGACGUGGUCCCUGCGGGGUCUGGCGGGACCUCGGCCAUGGUGAUGGGUGCGCCCCCUCUGCAGGGUGGGGCCUGCGGGUAAGGACAGUCCCGCCCCCUGUGCGUGUGAGGGGAUAGUGGAGAGAGGGGUCUGGCGUGGGCCUCACUGCUCCUGGGAAACCAAAGAUGAAGACGCCUGCUUAGGACUCACCUUGCCCUGGUAGAACAAGUGACUCAGACAGAGCCUCCCAGAGGCUUCUGGCCAGGCAGGGAGUGACCAGCAGCGCAGCCAGCCUCAGCUCCUGCCCACACAGCCCCCUUGUCACCGGCUCCUCCUGCCCCUGCUCCAGCACCUUGGCCACCAGUUCUCGGUGGGCCGGUCUGGAUCUGCCGAUGCCGGGACCUCGCCAGGCCGCUGGUUGCAGGGGAGGCUGAGGGGGCGUCCGCCUGCUGUCUGCUUCUCACCAGCAUUUCCAGUGAGGCAUGAAAGUGAUGCGUGGCGGAUGUUUCCCUCUGGCCUCAGCUUUCCCCCAAAUCCCAGCUCACACUGAGUGUCCUGAUGGUGGCACCUCGGGCAGCCGCCACCCUCUGCCCUCCACCCUCUGCCCUGACGGCAGGCUCUGCCUGAGGGGGAGGGUCUCUCUGUACACACAGUCUCCUCACCCUGGAGGGCCUGCUCUGCUCUCAACGGAGCUGGAACCAGGAGUUCGCGAGUGCUCUGGGUGGCUGCUGGCUUUUCUCCUUGUCUCACCUCCUCAUCCGCACACAGCCUCUGCCCUCAGCGCUGCUCACCUCGGUAUGUAGGCAGCCGGCAUCAGGAUGGUCUGGGGUGAGACAGGCAGUGUUCUUCCCCUUCUCUGGCCAGGGAGGGUGGAGAAGCACCCGGGCACAGCCAUUGAGGCCUUUUCGUGCAACUCAUUGCCUUUCUGGGCGUGAAGGUGGAGGCUGGUCCUCCACCUGCGUGUUCUCCAUCUGGGGGACUGUGGUCCCGGAGGAGACCUGGAGUCCGGCUCCCCGCUCCGUCCGAGGAGGAGCUGAGCGGCGUGAGCAGUGCCCGCCCUGGUCACUCUGCCUUGCUUUCCUCCUCUCUGUUUCUGGUUGUGCCUCCUUCCUUCCCUCCUGCUCUCUUUGCCGUGGACUGCAGCCCCCUCGCCAGAUGUGUUCCUCACAUGAGUCAACCCGUCCUUGGCCUGCGUCCUCCACUGCUCGUGGCAGCUACACUCUCCCGGAGGUGGCCGGGAAGGGCCCAGGGCCUUGAGAAGAUGUCUUUGCAGCACGUCCCCGGCCCUCGGCCUCCACCUCCAUGGCACCCACCAUCCCACGGGGGCACGUGGACCUCUGUGGGAUAUAGCCUGACCUCUGACCCAGGGGUCAAAUAACUCAGGUCUGUUUACCAAGUCACCAAAAUAACCUGCCCGAUAGCAUCUCACCCAUCACACGGGAGGCCGGGCUCGUGUGAAUAAUUAAUAGGUCACUGGAAUGUGAAACGAGAAGCCUCGGCCCGUUCUGAAACAGCAUUUUAGGUUUGCAGCUUAUAAUAUUGUCAGUUAGGAGAAGGGCCAACUGAGUCUGCAAAGAGGUGAGGGCGGGUGGUCUGGGAUCCUGCCUCAGCCGCGCGGGUGAGAGGGGCGGGCGGGUCAGGCGAAGACUCAGAGUCAGGAGGCCAGACUGGCCCCAGGGAGGGCUCCUGGCCAUACCCCAAGCUCAGGACGCAGGGUGGGGCGGGCCCGCUGGUGCCCACAGUGGCCUUGGUGGGCCUCUCCUUCCAUUGCCCAGCUUGUAGGUCAACUUUGCCUCCACAGAUCCGUAACAGACGUUUUUUCUGUCAUGUAAGAAACUUGACAGCUGAAGACCAAGGAGUGGAGCCUCCCGUGAGGCAGCUCUUCUUUUCCGGUUGUUAAAAUGCGCGUCGGGCCAGUGGUUCUGACUAAUUCUCACUUUGUGUGGUACCUUCAGCUGGCAGGGGCUCGGGGAGUGUUCAGUACCGUGAGGAGCAGGUUCCUGAGAGCCCGUGAAUACCGUGGACAGAUUACCACAGCACGCACUGUUCCACGCAGGGCCUCAUCCACGCUUUCUUAAGUGGUUUGCCACACACAGGAGCUCCUGGUUCUCCAUGUCCCCUGCCAGGCAGGGCUGUUAAACUGGAAAGCCGGGGAGGGACGUCGCUGGGACACAUUGUUAUCUGAUCAGAGCUCCGAGGCCCCACCAGGAGCUGUGCUAUUGCAGAACCUCAAACAGCAGCCGCUCCGGCCCCGCCCCAGGAGCCACGCAGAGGCCCACGCACGGGGAGGACGCCGUGGGGUGGAAACUAAAGUGCAGGUCUGACCACAAAACCACACGCCACGGCACCGCUGCUGCCAAAUGCCGGAGGCCUGCAGGAGGCACGGAUUAAUUUUUUAUGAGUCUGCCUUGGAACCUAGACAACAGCCCUCUCCUCUUUCAGCACAAUUUCAGGGCGAAUGACCGUCACUUCCCUGGACUGCUAAGCGCAUAAACGCACAGGGAAUUUCCUAGUUCCACAUACGCCGUUGUUCCCGCAGCCCAUGCAGCUGGGAGAGCACACAUGGUUGCCGUCGGGCUGUGUCUGUUUUCCCAGGAGCAAGAACUCUCAGAAGUGCAGUGUUGAAGCCCGAGCCUUCCCCGUGUCAGCUUUUAUGAUGAACGAGGAUUCACCAUUUAUUUCUCCCCUAAAGCAAAGCCCACGGGCUCUGUUUUGAGCGAUGGGGACAGAUGCUCGGUGCUGCUGGGAAGGUGUUCACGGGGCAGAUUCGCUGUGUCAGGAGACCAACGUGGAAUGAGGUCGGCCCAGCCAGUCACUGCUUAAAAACAGUAAUGACAAUAUUUGAGAAAAUGGGUGGAAUUUUGUGGAGAUUUACUGGCACGGGGAAGGCGUGUGGCCUCUGGCAGGUCUGCGACACUGAUUUCUAACUACCUGUUCCACAGCUCCACUGCCUGGAAAAACUGGCAAAAAUGUGGCCUGGGUCUCCUGACAGGCCUGGCCAUUGGAGUGGGGGUGUGCAGCUGAGACAGGAAAUACGAGGCGCAUGAGUGUCCCCAAGCCCAGAUCCUCAGCCUCCAAAAUCUUCUAUUAGUAAUUUCAGAGCUUUGGCUUCUUGGUGCUUUGGGAAAAUUUAAGAUGACGCGUGGGCUCUGGCACGGCCGUUGCUAGUGACCUCUCCUAAUAGCGCAGAAGGGCCUCCCAGGAGGCUUUCCUAGGUAGAGAGGGGUCUGCACGCCCACUGGAACAUGCUCUAUCCCAGCCUCAGAAAACCCACAUUUGGUGCAGGUGGGACAGGAGGAGUGGACACGUCACCUGGAGACCACAUGAGAAGCGGCCAUCUGCAGCAGCAAUCACCCCGUGGGGAGGCGGCGCCCUGGCAGCUCUCAUGUGGGGCCUGGUCCUUCCUCGCUGCCUGAGCAAUGGGCCCUGCUUCCCCGCAGACACCGUGGUGCCCCUGGGCCACACCCAGCAGGUGUCCAGUGACCGAGGGUGGUGUUGGCCAUGGCAGGUCCCUGCCCGUUUCUCCGAGGACCUGGGGCUGUGACCCAGCUGGGUUCUCCCGGGAAGGAGCGGCCACUGUCUGCACUGUCCAGUGCUGAGGGUGGCAGCCAUUUCUGAAGCCUCCCAGGUUUGUGCCCUGCUGUGUCUGAACAGCUCCGGAGUGCAGGGUCUCUGUGUCAGUGCCGGUUCUAAGAGGAACGAGAUGUGGUUUCAGAGACACUCCUCUUCUCUGAGGAGCUGCUGGGCGGGACGGCUGCUUGCUUUCUUUGUCUGUGACGUUGGUGGCUGUUCCUUGCCCAGGCCCUGCCCAGGCCAGACGUGGGAGUGGCGGCUGGGAGCACCCAUGGGCGUGUGCCCGUCUGGGCUGGGCUCGUGUCCGUGGACCUGCCUCAAGCCACACCUCCCUCCUCCAGGCAGGACACCGGGCCUUGUCUGUGGACAGAGGCGCUUUGCUGGGAACAGCACAGAUGGCCCCUGGGCCCUGCGGAGCCGAGACGCACCAUCAUACACACUUGGAGCACAUAGACUGACCAGGUCUCACCCUGCGAGGCUCCCUGAGGCCAUGUCCUAGGGAAAUAGAAGGUUUCACCCGGAGAUUGGGGAGUGCAGGGCUGUGGCGCUGCAGGGUGCGGGCCCUGAAGGAGGGGCAGGGGUGCUGCUGGAUGGUGGCUCUUCCACCCCAGGAUUCCUCGGGCCCUUCACCCCUGUGUGUCUGGACUGGGUAUCGCUGUAGCUGUCGGGCUCUGGAGGUGCACAUGGCUGCUGGGCGGGCAGCGCUCCUGGGCCUCUCUCCCCCGUGAUUUCGGUUUUGAUGUGUUUGAGCCACUGACCAGCAGGCUUAGGGGCCAUUCUGGAGCUGGGAGGGCUUGUGGGGGAGGCAGGAUGAACAGGGGCUGCUUGCCGGUCCUCAGGCCACCCUGCCAGCUCCUUGAUGUGUCUCCCUGAGAUCAGCCAGGGCAUCCCGGCUGUGGGUGGGCUGUGACCUGAGCCCGUCAGGCCCUGCUGGGGUAGACUGGGGAGAAGUGCUGAGCGGAAACCACCUCACUUCUGACAAAUGACAAGCGCUCCUGCCGCUUGGUGUCAGGCGACGCGACUCUCAGUGGCACGGAUGUCUCUAGAAGGUUGCCGUUUCUCCCUUCGUGGCCGUGGGCUGUGGAUUCUGUGUGCUUCUGGCCCUGGGGUCACGGGGUUGCGGCGUUUCCCACUUGCCUGUUUCAGGAGUUGCAUUCUAGAUGAUUCUCUCUCCAUAGAAGGUCGAGGUUUCUCAGCAUGGAUUAAUUGAUUAGAUUUAAUUAAAUCUAAACGUGGUGUUUCCGGGCAGAAUCUUCUUCAGCCAAAGUGAGCGUGGCCGUCUCUUCUCUGGGCGCUUCCAGGUGCGUUGGGGCCCCUGCACCCUCCACGUCAGUGCCCUGGCUCCGUGGCCCUGUCGGUGCUCUGGUGAGUCUGGGGUUCGUGCCGAGCGCCAUUGCCUCCAGGUCGAGGUGGGAAGCGCGCUGGUGGGGCAAGGUGGUCCCUGCAUGGCACAGGUUGGGAGAGCAGCCGGGAGGGCAGCGGGCCGAGGCGGUGGGGGAGGGCACCAGUUCUCCACGGCAAGCACGGCCUCUGGGGCUGCUCUUCCGGAGAGACGUGGAGACCCGCGUGCACGUGUGGAGACUGGCACGUGUGAGGGGCCCACAGGUGUGGCCGGGCGGCCUUUCUCCUCCCCACCUCUGUCCACCCUCGCCGAGGCGUCGGUCCUGCUGAGCAGCCUCUGCUGCCUUCGUGCAGGUGACAGCGCACGUGCCAUUCACGGGCGCCAUGUCUCCAAGAAGAGGGGCUCCUGCCGCGUGCCUGUUCUGGGGUUGCCACUCAACAUCCUUCCAGCACCUUCUCUGGGCUUCCGGUUUGAAUGAUCUUUCUCCAAAGUCGGCGGAAGGGGCUAGAAAAGUAGGGACCUGGGAAGAAAGCCCAGACACCUUGGAGCCGGGGUCCGGGAAACAGGCCCUGGCAGCUCAGCGCUGCUUCUCUGGAGUGGGGAUACAAUGUUGGUUCACAGACGUGCGGUGGCGGCGGCGGGUGGUGGCAGCAGUGUGCGGUUGUUGGCGCCACGUGCUCACGCUGGGUCCCUCCUGGGGAGCUUCUGCUCCGGCGGGCCACGCCUUGCUGUAGCCUGCAGGUCAUCUGGUUGGUGUCUGGGGGAGGUCUGGGGCCCCAGCCCGGAGCUCAGCUCUGAGCAUCAAGAAACCCGAGUUUCUCCCCACUCCCACCCAGACAGCUCCCCACUCCCACCCGGACAGCUCCCCACUCCCACCCGGACAGCAGCAGCUGUGUUUGGAAGGGGACACACCAGAGCUUCCCUUGUAGCAAGUGAGGCACGCUCAGCUGGAGCCUGGCAGUCCUGCAGCUCCGCCUGCCCCCUUUUGAAAACCAAAAAUCCCAAGAGACUUAUGUUGAAACAGCCCUUCCCGGUCAGGACUGAGCCUGUGGCUGAGUGCAGUUUUUCAGUCGCGGCUGGAAGGUCCCUGUGCGGGGCGGCGAGUCCCUCUAGAUUUGCUUUACAGCCACAAAUUCAGUUUUAUCUGUGGAUCUGAACACGAUCUAUGAAUCACUAGGAAAGCAACUGUGUUCACGGGAAGGAUUCUCAGAAUUGAGCUGACACUCCGUGGUGUGAACUCAGUAUUGUCAGCUUGUGCACCGCGCGUAUGGACACACACCUGCACGCACUGUCACACACACUUGCCUCGGGCCCCCACACACACCGCCCUGAGAGCUAGGAAGACGAAUCGGUCAGUCACACGGAUUCUGCAGACAGCUUCCUUCACCAGGCAUGGUAGUGAGGGCAGCGCCCACUACUCACCCAGGGCCUCUCGUGCAGGAAACUGCAUGGACACGUCGUCCUGUUCCUGUCAUGGGAAGGGGCCUGGAGCCGUCCCUCGGGGGGUGGGGAGGAGCUAGUUUCCCAGUCGGCGCCCGUGCAUUCACCGGUCUGAGAAUCCACUCAGCAGGCUUGCUAUGUAACCUCCGCCGUUCAGGCCUCAGCAUGCAGCAAGCCCGUGGGGUCCCGUCUGCCCAGCCUCUGCCUCGGUUCCUGCCGGGCACAUGGACGCUUCCCUUGAAUCCUUCUGCCGACGGCAUCUGUGGGAGGGCAGGUACGAUCGAUCCUGGUCCUGUCCCCCUAGCCCUGGGCGGGUGUCCCGGCACCUCCAGGCACAAGGCCCCUUCCCCAGGCUGCCCAGAGACCCCAGCCCCGAGGUGCUGGUCCGCCCACCCUCUCUGGGAAGGGCUGUGCCACAUGGCGAAAGCUGCUGUGGGUCCUGGUACCUGGUGUCCCUGCCUGCCAGGGCUCAUGAUGCCAACAGUGCCAGGUUUGUGGGAUUUGGGGGUCAGGAGGGCCUGGCCCUGCUCCUGCAAGGCCGAGAUCUGUUCCCUUGGAGGGUUGAGGGAGUGUUGGCUGUAGGGUUCCUGGAGGCCUCUCUCAUGCACUCUGGGUCUGUCAGGAGGCUGGCAACUGUGGCCAAACAGGUAGAAAUAAAACCUGAAAUGAGAAAAAAACUUUUUUCUAGAACUUCCCAGAGAGCAGUGAGCUGGUGCCAGUGGGUCAGAGGCUUGUCACAUGUGGUGUGUGUGUGUGCGUGUGUGUGUGCACGCUCUGGGGGGGUGUGCACAUUUCCCAGUGUGGCUGUGCGUGUGUGUGUGCCCACGUGUGUUCACAGAACACCAGGCUUUGCCCCGACUCCUGGCUCAGGCCUGAGUCUCCAGCCAUGGCGUCCCCGUUCCUCCCGUUCCUUCUCUGCACUGCACACUGGGAACCAGGACAAGAGGUGUGCGGCGUCAGGCUGUGUCCUUCCCCCACCCACCCCGAGCCCACGCUGCUCUGGAGGGAGACCCCAGCUUCCCCCGCCUACCCCGAGCCCUCGCUGCUCUGGAGGGAGACCCCAGGCCCCUCAGGCCCUUUCCCGCAUCUGAAGGGGCCAGGGCAGGGCGUCCGGCAGAUGAAGCUGCCCCUUAAAGCCAGGUCUGGGCCGGUUUACAGGGAAGCACUGCUCACGUACAACCUGGCAGACCACACCAGCGCCGCACACACAGGCACCCCUGUGGGCACCCACGUGCCCGACCCCGCAGACCACACCGGCACUGCACACACAGGCACCCCCGUGGGCACACACGUGCCCGACCCCACAGACCACACCGGCGCUGCACACACAGGCACCCCCGUGGCCACACACAUGCCUGCACACGCACACUUCUGGUGCACACGCCCACACUCACGGAGGCUUCUGCACACCACACAGCCAGCAGGUGAGGAAGUGGACGCUGCGUGGCUGUCUCUUGGUGGCUUCACCUGGAAUGUCACCGUGGACCCCAGAGCCCGAAGCCCCGGCAAGCACAGAAAUCACACCGGCAGCCUGUCCCACUUCGGGCAGGAACACCUGGCUCUGCAGCAGUGGCUGCCGUAUCAUCCUGGCCAGGCCCCUGUACCGAGGGUGGAGCCACGGGGUCUCUGAUGCCUUCCUUCUCGUGCUUUGGUGGAGAAUGUGGCUGGACGUCCUCCCAUGACAGAUGCACUCUCCUGCCUGGUUCCCUGGCCCCGGGCCCAGCCCUGAGAGACGCACCACGGCCUUCACCUGGAAGUGUCACCUCUGGCUGCUGUUGUGGGUGAUGAGGAUUCCAGGGCUGAGAAGAGGACCCUAGACGCUGUUCACACAGCGUGGCAAUCUCUCAAAUUAAUCCAGCAUGGGGGGAAUCGGGGUUGAAACCGGUUUGUGAGCCGGAUUUUCUGUCCCUGUGUACUUCCUUGGGGCAAUUUGAAAAAUGCAGAUUUUACUCGUAGGCCCUAAAUGGAUAAUUUCCCUUUAGGCUGACGGCUGCUCCUGUGCCCUGCCUGGAGAGAAGCCUGACUCCAGGUCGCCUUGGCUCCGUUUCUGUGCAGCAGCUCAGACUAUGGGGUGGAGGGUGAGACAUUCCCACCCGUGAGCUGCCUCUGUCCACCCCACACCUCCCUCCCCUGGGUGCACGCAGCUGAGUUCCACGUUGAAUAAAUUUGGCCUCAAUCAUCCACUACCCACCAUGUCACCGUGUAAGUGCUGAGGUCAGCACAGGAGCUAAAAACAAACAUUGUAACGUGUAGGAGACUCAGUAGCUCUUAUACCUCGGCAGUGGAAUAAGAAUAAUACAUUUUGUUUAGUUAAGGUUGAGGCAGAGGGAGGUCAUUGUUGUGACAGGGAAUUUUAUAAAUAGGAUUCUGACAGGUUCUGUACUGUGCCAGAGGCAGAAAGCCCAUGCAGUGGGGCCCGUGACGUAUUUAAAUGACUUUUCUUAAAAUGAACUUCAUGUUUUAAAUAAUAGAUGUUUACCUCCCAGGUGAAACCUUAAAUAUUCCCAUUUUCACUGAAAUGGCAUGUUUUUUAAAGGAUACAGUCAUACCCCAAAUUCACAGCAUUCCACACACCAUCAGAGAACUGCCACAGGGAUCCUGGGGGAAUUUUAAAUUGUAGUUUUAAGACCACGUGACCCUGGAGCUGCCCCGGUGCCCCUCCCCCACCCCCCGAGGUGGUUUUGGUCAGCGACUCAUUUACAUUUUUUUCUAUGUAAAUUAAAUUUUUAGGUAUUAAAUCUCGGAAAAUGGAA